CCAGCAGCCCGGGUAAUACGUAGGUGGCAAGCGUUAUCCGGAAUUAUUGGGCGUAAAGCGCGCGUAGGCGGUUUUUUAAGUCUGAUGUGAAAGCCCACGGCCCUAUUGUGGAGGGUCAUUGGAAACUGGAAAACUUGAGUGCAGAAUAGGAAAGUGGAAUUCCAUGUGUAGCGGUGAAAUGCGCAGAGAUAUGGAGGAACACCAGUGGCGAAGGCGACUUUCUGGUCUGUAACUGACGCUGAUGUGCGAAAGCGUGGGGAUCAAACAGGAUUAGAUACCCUGGUA
rnacentral:rRNA from 1 species